GGGAAACCUUGGAAACAGGAGUGCUCUGGAGGGGAUAUCCUAGCUGGAUGCAGUCCUGCCUUUGUUCCAGUGGGAGGUGGUCUCACUGAGGGUACCAGCAUUGCUUCAGUAUUUGUGCUAGUUUUUAUUUCUACUACUGAGGCUUUCCUAUCCACCUGUGAAAACAGACUUCUCCCUACUUGAAGCUCUUUCAGUCUUUGUUAUUCUGUGUGUUUUCUUUGGAGCAGCAGGUUUGGGAAUUUAUCACCAGGAUUAUGUCACUCUGAGCAACAGAAUGAAAAGUGUUCUCAAAUUGAGAGUAGAAAGCCCUGCUCUUCCAGAUAACUUUUUAAGGGUGACAUGUGCAAAUGAGAGGAAGUGGGCUAGAGUGACCUUCUAAUGACUUUUUGAGUGACUCUCAGGAAACUUGCUUAAUGUCCUACACACUCAACUUCUGAGAGGAAUUGUUGGGUUAAACGCUUGGUGGAGUAAGACGCUCGAUCCUCUGAAAACCUAAUGAAAUGCUAAACCUCUCCCCCAACACACUGCCGUGUUUCAUUAUUUACCAAUUAUGAAAUAACUACAUGAUAAUUAACGUGAAAUUAUAUAGAUGAGCAGUUUGAGUAUUUUGAACCCAUAAUUAGGAUGCAAAUUAUCAACAAUCUGGAGCAUGCCACCAGGCAGUAACUCAUAUACAGUGGUCCCUGAAGACAUACCGUGUGUUUGGGCAUGAUUUGUCUGUGGCAUGGGUUUAUACCUAAUUUGGGAACCUGUUAGAGAGCUGAUUCUAUGUCUCAGAGUGCCAAUUUGGGUUCUGGAUUAGCUGUGCUCAGUGCGCUAAGUGCCCACUUGUACAGCCUAGUAGCAUGACAAAUGGCUCCCUUCCUGUGAGAGAGAGAAUGGGACAGUUGUGUUGUGGUGUUAGUUGGUGCCUCUGCCCCCUGCCCCUGCCACACGGGGAGCCUGGCUGCAAGCUUUCCUUGGGAGGUUUUUGUUAGAGGGUGUACUGCUGUGGCAGUUAUAACAACGACCUGCGCUUUGGAGCAGGGACCAGACUGAUGGUAAAACCAAGUAAGUGAGGGAAGCGGGUCAGUCUGAAAGGCAGUGCUGUUCUCUGCAGCUCAGCAGGAUUGGGACACUGCUGCUCCCAAGGGGGUAGAUGCACCUGGUUUCUUUGUACCUGAGCUGGUUGGAGUCCAUUUCUUGAUGAGUUCUGGCAAUCCUAAGAAUUAGGUCAUGAAGAAGUAGGAAUUUUCAUUGGUUUCUUCCUUGGCUCUGGAUAUAUAAAAAUGCUAAUGAUAAUAUGCAAAACCCAAAUUAAAAAAACCAAACAACUCAGAAAUCAGGUUUUCCUCAAGAAGAUCCCUCCUUCUCUCCGAGAGGAGCACAGUCAGCUCCUUUAUUGGGUUUUUAUUGGAUUUUAUGGUUGUUGUUAUUCUUUGUAAGAACUAUGAAAGUGGCAUGGUCGCUAGUCCCCAAAAUAGCCACUCUUUGACCCCCGUGCUAGAUGGCAUAUCUCAGCCUGACCUUGCAAUUGUUCCACGUGUCUCAGGCAUGAGUCAGUCAUCAGAACUCAGUGUUCUGGGAGCAAAACUAGGGGUUUAAGAUCAAGCUCAGAUCCAUCUGCACAGCCAGCUUUUAUUUUUAGAGAAAUGUCCUAUCCCUGCCAAGGUACUGGGAGUUGAGGCUGUAAAGCAGUGAGACUUUCACUAGAGGGCAAGUGGUCUCCCAUAUUCUGUCUUCCCCUGAAUCCUUCCCACCCACUGAUAAUUGUAAAGUCCCAUAUGACUGUGUGAAUGUUGGCAGCAGCCAAGGAAAGCUCAUCUUUGGAAAAGGCACUAUGGUCUCUGUUAAACCAAGUAAGUGUUGGGGGAUUUCAAAGGCUAAUCAAUAGUGCAAUAAAAGCACAAUCCAGACAGAAUGAGGAGAAAUUACCCGCCCUUCCGCCAUGAGCCCACAGAGCUGCCCUGGUCCAGGCCCCUGGCUGUCCUCAGUUCAGACAGGCCUGGCCUCUGCUGGACAUAGGGCUUCACGACAUGUAACCCCCUGGGGAGAGGGAGGGCCCCCUCCCCAGGUUAGCACUUCUCAGGAGUGAUCACCCACCUCACUGUGGUGAGUGAGCGACCUUCUCAGCAGUGGUCUCCUGGAAGAGGGCCCUUGGAGACCCACAAUCUGUGUGACUGCAGGGUGAUGCAGACAUUAGAUUUAAUGGAGGGUUCCCUGAGGAAGAGAGGGGAUUUUGUUUAGGGAAGGUGCACUGUGGAACUCAAUGCCGGCUACGUGCUCCGCUUUGGCCAAGGCACCUCAGUGCUGGUCACACCCGGUGAGUUCUUGUGGUUAACUCCUUAUCCUUUCUGGAGAGCCAUCCAAAGGGACCUGUUGAAACGCAGCUGAACUUAAUUGCUUCAUUUAGCAUGCAGUUGUUAACUAUGUCGGAUGUGUGAGUAAGAUAUGAAUACAUGUUUCCCUGGAGGCUGGAUUUAGUUAUCAGUCCUGUGGGCAGUUUGAUAAAUUGUAUUAAUACCAUAGUCAGUGUUUCUUAAAGGUCCACAAAGCACGUUGAGGCUUUGGGGAAAAAGCAGAGAUAAGAGGCAGAAAAGCUCGGUGAUAGAGACAGAAACAAACCAAUGGAAAGGGAGGCUACCAAAGCAGCAGCGUGUGGCCACAGAAGCGUGUCCUUAACAGAUAAGCACUGAGGAGCCGGUUGCACUUAGGUGUGACAACAAGUAACCGGGUUGAUUUGUUAACAAAUAGAGUUUGUACAUUUAAAUGAGUGGCCCAGUCAAGCCGCUCAGCCUGAAGUGACACACACUUCAGUCCGCUAUACACACCCUACUGUCUUUUGCUCACCUCCUCCUUUGAAUCUGCCCUCAAAGGGCCUGGAACGUUCUUUCUGUAGCAGCCUUGAUAGUUUUAUCUUUUGAAGGUGCAUUUUAUUUUUAUUAAUAAGCAAAAAGCUUUUGGAGCCAUGACUUAUAAAUAGAGGAGGGACUCAAAAUAAUUACUGGUACUAUCAUGGUUCCAAAAAAUGAGGUAUGACUGUAAAAUAAGGUCAUUUUGUUAUGAUGUGUGGCCCAUAAACUGAUCCUAAAGGGAGUACUUUGAAGGGUUCAACCAUCAUUUAGAUGUUUAAAUCCUGACAUGUUUGUUAAAACAGCCUCUUUACUUGAUAAACACGCUUAAGAUAAGCAUAGCCUGAGACUGAGGAAGUUUUGCAAGCCCAGACCUAACCAAACCAAGAAGACUUCACUAUGAACUGAGAUGUUAUCCCAAGUAAGUCCCUUUCAGAAAAGCAUGAGGGCAAAACCUUCCCAUGGAAAAAGUGCAUACAACAUCUUGCAAAUUGACUCCAAAGCUACUGUAAGAAAAGGGGAACCCCAUGUUGGUUUGUGUAGAGCCACGUAGCACUGUGACUCAGGAAACUACAAAUACGUCUUUGGAGCAGGCACUAAGCUGCAGGUUUUAACAAGUGAGUAUUACAGGCAAGACAUAUUAUUUUAAAUGUUGUUGGUAUCUGAGAGGCAAACGUAACGUAAGGGAAAUACUUGCUGUAAACUAUGGAAGCAAAAAUGGCAGCUGCCUGAAGUGGCCAUUCUGGAUCCCUCCACUCCAGACAGGAGGGAUGAAGGAGAGCUUGGGACUCACCAACAUGAACUUACCACCAAUUUCAUAAGAAUUAUAUUAAUUACUAGAAAAUAUUUAUUGGCUUAAGACUUUGAGAGAUUCCUCUAAACACGGGAAUUCUUCUCAAAAUUGUACUCUCAUUCCACAUUUUUCACUUGCUUUUCCUACUCCUCUUUAUGCCUUUCCCCCUCAUCCAAUUCAGUGCUUUGUCUGGGCAUUCGUGUUUUGAGAAACCAUCAUGUCCACUUCUUAGCCUGUGACUUAAGAUGUUAAGUGAAAGAUAGUUGCUCAGUCGUGUCCGACUCAUGUGACCCCAAAGGCUGUAGCCCACUAGGCUCCUCUGUGCGUGGAAUUCCCCAGGCAAGAACACUGGAGUGGGUAGCCAUUCCCUUCUCCAGGGGAUCUUCCUGACCCAGGGAUCAAACCCAGGUCUCCUACAUUAUAGGCAGAUUCUUUACUGUCUGAGUCACCAGGAAAGCAGGCUCUCGAAAACCUGGACCCUUUCUGUUCUCCAAAUCUCUUUCUAGCUGUUUCUCAAAUGCUCUGCUCCAGGCAAACUGGACACCUUCUUCCCCUGAAUGCUUACAAUUGCCCACACCUGAGCCUGGUGUCCAUAAAUCAGACUCCACGGACCCACCAAUGAGAGCAGACUUGCAGACAUGAAACAAAUUGUUUCUCAGCCAGGAGACCCAGCACAAGUGUCACCAGACUUCAUUUCACAGGACAACUUAACCCAAGUAGGAAUGUAUGGGCUGCCAUAUUUCCCGCGUGCUUCUUGUUUUCCCUCUGGAGGGGUCCACUCCAGAUUGUUGGUUGUUAAGCCCCUGGUCCCCACCCCCCGGAGCCCAGAGGUGGGGAAGAGGGGGGACGCUUUGCCCUAUACUCAACAGUGGAAAUAAAAGGUAAAAUCAUUCUCAGAUUUUCCUUCAAGCUACCUCAAAAUUAAGAGAGGUUCAGAAGAAUCACCUUGACAGAACAGGAGAAGCUACCUUUAAAAGAAUUAUUUUAGGUUUGUCCUUGGCUUGUGUUAUCUCCCGGGAAAGGGACAGUAAGAAAGGAAAAGCCUCCACUAGGACAAAGAUAGAAAGUAGUGAAAGUCCUUUUCCUGGUGACUGUCUAAGCUGGAGAUGAAAGGUCUGGAGCUGGAGUCAAGGGUGAGCUCCAGGGCUGACCAGUGCCUGCAACUGUCUCUAGUUUUUUGGAAUGAGAACAAGGCAGGAAUUGCCUUAUAUAUUCGAGAGCCUGGGCAUCAGAGCCAGGCUCCAGCAUCCAGAAAGGGUGGACCAACGUGCCCACCCCUCUUGCCAGGUGGGCAGUGGCAGCUGCCCUCAGUCUCUACCAUUGCGAUGACAGCAUCUCUGACUGCUUUUGCUUUGGUGCCUUGGAUAGGAACUGUUCCUACUUUGUCUAAAUGAGUUACAUGAUCUUCAGAACCUCAGGAGAAUUAUUAUCUAAAGCACCAGAGGAUAGCUAGGAUUUUGGCAGUCUGGGCUUUUAUGGGAAAGUAUUCUGGGCUUUUGUGGGAAAAUUCCUUCUUUAGAAUAUUUGGAAAGAAUACCCUCCAUUGAUCCAAUGUGGAAACAGUUCUGAACUCCAAGCUGGAGCUAGGAUUUUGUGCCAGGUUAUUACUGUGACAAUUACUUAAUAUUCUCCAUGCUCAUGGUAUCGCUUCUUCCAGAAGAUCUUUAGGGAAAACUUAGUUCAGUUUCCAGGAGGUUUUUGCUGAGCUGAAGAUCACUGUGUGAAUAAUAAUGCAGGCAACGUGUUCACAUUUGGAGGGGGAACAAGGUUAAUGGUCAAACCUCGUGAGUAUCUCUGCUGAAUCCGUAAUGAGUGUUCUGAUUUCUAAAGGAAGCCGUAGCACUAAACUUCAUCUGAGGACUUUCUCCACCCAGUGUUUUUAAAGUUAAUUCUAACCAUUAACCCUAAGGAUGGUACGGCAUACAUAUAUGCCAUAUGUACAUGUGAAAACGGGCACAUAGGUAAUUCUCUGGAACAGAAACAAAUAAGCUGGAGGAUAACAGAUUCUUUGUCCCUUUUGUCUUAACCAUUUGCAUCGGAGAGUCUGGGUUGAACUCAGGGACGGCUGAGCACUGGAGUGGGAGAACCUUCUCCAGCGACUUUGUGAGGAUUUUGCCAUGUCUGCUGGCCUGGUGAGAGGACAGCUUGGUCUGGAGGUUGGGGGAUGAAAUAUGUAACCUCAGAACAGCCUUUGUGUCCCAACCAUGCUGUAAACUGGCCACAAUUAUGAGCAGUCUUCCCCACUGCUUCUUUGGCCAGGAUCCCAGCUGGAGGAGCACGCUGGCUAGAUUUGGGGAUUGAAAGGGAUUUCCUGGUACACAUUGGCCUGGUUGGUUUCUGUAAAGCUUUCCAUGACUGUGUAAUAUUGGCAACAACCGUAAGCUGAUUUGGGGACUGGGGACAAGUCUGGCAGUAAAUCCAAGUGAGUCUUCAAAUUAACUCUCUCAAACCUGUCUCUGUAGUUUGAAGUAUCUGAGAAACUGUCUCCUCUUUGGAGAGACAGUUUUAAAUAUGUGGUAAUGAGUAGUGUUCUUCUCUUGUCCACCCAAGCUGGGUCCUCGCCUACCUCUCAAUCAAAAUAACUAGUUAAAACAGUUUGGAUGUGCCUGGUGGGAAAGCAAUUGGAGUGUUAGACUGUUGUCUUACAGAGCAAACAGGUGGCGCAUUUCAAAAUAGCCAUUAGGAAGCAUCAAAAGUUAGACAAGGUGAAGCUACACAUCCUGUACCAUAGCCUCCUUAGUCUACACUAUACCAACAUCAUCACAGGCCAUCAGCCUCCAGCCAAAGAUAACUCAAGUGCUGCUGGGAACACUCAGAACUCAGGGCCUUCCCAGUGGCCUCCCUGGAGAGCAUCUCCCUAGUAUGGAUUAUCCAGCAUGACUCAAACCUACCAUGUGAUUUCUGCAUCUCUCAGUUCUCUUUGGCUUACAGUCUUAUGGUAGAUUUACUAGAAGUAACAGGGAAAGAAGUUGGUUUCAUCCUAAUUCUGGUCUCUUGAAGAGUUCUCUCCAAGACUCUUAAGAAACAUCUUAAGGACAACCCACCCUGCUCAGAAUUGUGCCUUGUACAACCAGACUGGUUCCCAGCAGUGUUUUCUGUGGCUUUGGCUAGCUCCCAGGGAAUUUCUGGAGCUCCAGGCUGGAUCUGUGGGGAGAGGAGUGGGGGUGAUACAGUGAGCUCAGAGGAUUUGGGAAAGACAUCUUUGAUAGAAGCGUUAAUGAAUUUCUAAAUGAGCUUCUGUGUGUUAACUUGAUAAGACUCUCCAGGGAGAAGGUCACCUUUACCUUUGCAACUCUAAAUGUAAGUCAUGAGUUGCAAGAAAAAAUGGGAAAUGUCAAUUGCUAUGCCAAAAUGAAGGGAGUGGAUAUACAUAUUGAACCAGUUUUAAUGUUAAGUUUAUGAAAUGUAAGACUUUCAGGAGAACCUUCUCAGGGCAUCUUUAUUAGGAUCGAUGAGCUAACUAUUUAGUCAAUGUUAUGGGGAUGCGCACUUUAAAGGGGAACCCAGAAUUUGUUUAAGGCCAAUGAAAGGUUUAGCCACUAUAGGUGAAUUUUGGAAUCAAACUGCCUGGGUAAACCCUAACUCUGCUACUUGCUAGAUGUGUGACUUCGGGCAGGUCAGCUAACCUCUUUAUGCCUCGUUUUUUUAUCUGUUAAGUGGAAAUAAGAACAGUACCUAUAUCAUUGUGUUGUUAUGAGAUUAAGAGAGUUAAUACUGACUAAGGGCCUUGCAUAAAGUGACACAUAGUAAGUAUCCAAUAAAUAUUAGUUAUUAUUACUAGAUCAGGUUGCUGGAGGGAGGAAAGGAUCUCCUUUUACAGUUCUUGUAAAGUAGAGCAUUACAGUGUGGCUCAGGAAACACAGGAAGACUCACCUUUGGGCAGGGGACAAUGUUACAAGUAAAACCAGGUAGGUCUGAUGUUCCAAACAGUCCAGAGUUACCCAUUAAGCUCAUUCUUUGGUUAAUCUUCUCUGCCUUUUCAACUUAUCAAAGACUCUUAUUUUUUAGAUUUCAUCUUUUGUUAACACUAGUAAGGAGAAUGUGGGUAAAGCUUGGCUGGUACGGUCUUUUCUAACUCACUUGGUUUCAGUUAGGGUGAAAAAAAGAGCAAGACUUGAGGUGAGUUAGGUCUGGAAUUUCUAGGCAAGACCAAGAGAAUGUAAUUUGAUGGGAGACAUAAAAACAGCACGUGUAAGAAGUGUACCAAAACUAAAGGUGAUUUUACAUAAUAGCAUACUGUAGUGAGAACCACCCCAGUAGCCACUAAAAUUCUCUUAAGAAUUGCCUUUCAAGGGGAAGAUGGGUAACAUGAAAAUGAUAAGUUUUUGUGUGGAAAAAAGGGAGACUGUUGAUAAUUUGGAUUUUUUUGUUAAGAAACAUGGAAAAGAACAUUUUUUCCGUAGGAUGGUUGGUAAAAGGCUAUCAUCAAGUAGGAGUCAAAGAGUCAAAAUGUGUAUGGUAUCCCCUGGGUGAGCCUCAUAGAGAAAGAGGAGGAAGAAAAUGGCCCAGAGUAAAGAGUUUUUGUACUGGGCAGAAACACUGUGAUAACUGCUGGAGCAAAUCGGCUUGUCUUUGGGACAGGAACAAGCCUCACCGUCCUCCCCCGUAAGUUCUUUGCCACUUGAGGAAAAGCCCUUAAUCUAUAAUGACCAGCUCUCACAUCCCAGACACCUAAUGAAUUUCUAAAUGAGCUUCCGUGUAUUAACCUGAUAAGACUUUCCAGGGAGAAGGUCACCCUUACUUUUGCAGCUCUAAAUGUAAGACAUGUUGUAAGAAAAAAUAGGAAAUGUCAAUUGCAGUGCCAAAAUGAAGAGAGUGGGUGUAAAUAUUGGGCCGGUUUUAAUGUAAGUUUAUAAAAUGUAACCCUUUCGGGAGAACCAUCGCAGGGCACAUUUAUUAGCUUGUGUCUGCACAGCACGAUCAUCCUGUUAAUUUGAUUAAUGUCAGUAGCUGAUCCAAAUAUUUAGGCAUUUCCUUGAGAAACCUUUUUUGGGCUCAAAAUGGCCUGAAUUGACUGUCACAUUACCUAAAUAAUUGCCAGAUCUGUUUUACUUUGUGCUGUAUAGACUCAGCCUAAUAAAAACAAAUGCUGCUGCUUUUUUUCCCUCAUCUGUCUCGUCUCCGCACAGCAAGUUUUCCUUCUAUUCAACAGCCGCUCUGUGCACAAAGACACCCAGCAAGCCAUUUGACUUACGGCUGCUGCUGUUUUGCAUUUAUAUGACUCCUUUCCUUGGAAGAGAUUAAGACACUUCAUAGGAAUUAUUAGCUAAACAGAUUGACAGCCUAAUUAGAAAGAAAGAAACAGAUUCAGAGGAUCUUUUGUGGCUGCCAUUCCUGCCCCCUCGUGUAGAACAUUUCGUCAGAUGGUUCUGCGAAACAGAG
ensembl:lncRNA